GUUGCUUUUAGGUCGUUGUGUGACGUCACGGUCGUGUGACGUCAAUGGUGUUAUCCUCGUGCCUUAAAAACUUCACUGUGGUAGCGUAUAGUGGUGGUUGUUUCUAUACGGAGUAUUUAAAUUGAAAACCCUUGUCACUAUGCGGUCGGGCCUGUUAAACACAACAAUCGGUUGAAGUAUUUCGCUUUCCCAACGCGUGUUAUGAAAAUGUAAGUUGGAAUGUUUGACUAACCCAGCGAAAGUGCCCGAAAUAUUCCGUUUGCUCCCCGUGGCGCAUCAACAGACCUUUUAGAAUCAGAGGACUGAAAAUAGCAUGUUGGACACAGCAGCGGCGAGUUCCGAACAUUACUUAAAUUCGCGGCAUCGUUACAUGCGGUAUAUAAGCGCGGGUACAUGUACAAAUACAAGCCUAAAUAGCCUUCAAACUCGCGGUGUGUGGUGUCGACUUCUUAUCUCAACAUUGGAUCUGUUUGCUCCCAGGUUAUAGGUAACAUACCGAUUCUGCACUGCUGGAUUUAACUGCUUAUGGUGACGCAGUAGAGUAUGAAAAC